UAAAGGAAGCGAUUCCGGCUACGGAUGGUCAUGCGUCGCAUUAGCUAGUUGGCGGGGUAACGGCCCACCAAGGCGACGAUGCGUAGGGGUUCUGAGAGGAAGGUCCCCCACACUGGUACUGAGACACGGACCAGACUCCUACGGGAGGCAGCAGUGAGGAAUAUUGGUCAAUGGCCGCAGGGCUGAACCAGCCAAGUCGCGUGAGGGAUGACGGUCCUAUGGAUUGUAAACCUCUUUUGUCAGGGAGCAAAGGGCGCCACGUGUGGCGCUUUGCGAGUACCUGAAGAAAAAGCAUCGGCUAACUCCGUGCCAGCAGCCGCGGUAAUACGGAGGAUGCGAGCGUUAUCCGGAUUUAUUGGGUUUAAAGGGUGCGCAGGCGGAAUGUCAAGUCAGCGGUAAAAUUUCGGGGCUCAACCCCGUCGUGCCGUUGAAACUGGCGUUCUUGAGUGAGCGAGAAGUAUGCGGAAUGCGUGGUGUAGCGGUGAAAUGCAUAGAUAUCACGCAGAACUCCGAUUGCGAAGGCAGCAUACCGGCGCUCAACUGACGCUCAUGCACGAAAGCGUGGGUAUCGAACAGGAUUAGAUACCCUGGUAGUCCACGCAGU
rnacentral:rRNA from 1 species